rnacentral:rRNA from 1 species
GACGAACGCUGGCGGUGUGCUUAACACAUGCAAGUCGAACGGUAAGGCCCUUUCGGGGGUCCACGAGUGGCGAACGGGUGGGUAACACGUGAGUAACCUGCCCUCAUCUCUGGGAUAACAGUCGGAAACGGUUGCUAAUACUGGAUAUGAGCCUGCAAGGCAUCUUGUGGGUUGGAAAGAUUUUUUGGUUGGGGAUGGACUCGCGGCCUAUCAGCUUGUUGGUGAGGUAGUGGCUCACCAAGGCUUCGACGGGUAGCCGGCCUGAGAGGGCGACCGGCCACAUUGGGACUGAGAUACGGCCCAAACUCCUACGGGAGGCAGCAGGGGGGAAUAUUGCACAAUGGACGGAAGUCGGAUGCAGCAACGCCGCGUGCGGGAUGACGGCCUUCGGGUUGUAAACCGCUUUCAAUUGUGACGAAGCUUUUUGUGACGGUAGCAGUAGAAGAAGCACCGGCUAACUACGUG